AAACUGCGAUAAUUAAUGUGAAUUGCAGAAUUCUGUGAAUCAUCAAGACCUUGAACGCAAACUGCGCCUACGGGUCCACCUGUAGGCACGCUUGUUUGAGUGUCGAUUCAUUCACUAUCCCUUUAUUAUUCCUAUUUUUUUUUUUAAGUGGGUAAUAAUAAAGGGGAAUUGGAGGUGUGGUUUUUCCUCUUUUUUUUUUAAAAAAAAGAGGGGGGGACCACUCCUUUUAAGUUCAUCUUCGGACUUUGCUUUUCAAAAAAACGAAUCAGUUUCAGCAAAGAGGUCCAGCCAGUAGGUACCAAUACGUUGGUUUAUCGAAAACUCACAUCUCUCUUGUCUAAAUUUGACAUUCGUUUUUGAAGCAAUAUAAAUCAAGUUCGAAUAAAAGGAAAGAAUCAAAACAACCGAUCAUUUCUCAACAAUUCGACCUCAAAUCAAGUGGGAUUACCCGCUGAAUUUAAGC
rnacentral:misc_RNA from 1 species